GUCAGUUUGACAGCCGCGGCCGCCGGUGAUCAUCCACUGUUUCUCCGGGACGGACUCCGACCUCGCAGCUCCUCUGGGACAUGUCCGACCGGCCUCCGGGCUGACGCUGGCUCUGUGGACCCCCGCGGUCCUCCACCUGCCCCGGCGGGCGUCCCGCUCCGCCCCCAGCGGGGUUAGCAGCUUUUAGCAUCCGCAGCGAGGCAGCGGCUCCUCUGGCUGUUUGUGCGCCUGCUGCUGUGACCAGGAGGUUCUGGUUCUGGCUCCGGCUCCGGAGGCUUUGGACCCGGAGAAUAAACAGACGCAUUUACAUGCAGACGGCGUGGCUGGCUGCUGUAAGGCUGCGGAGCCUGAACAACCUGCAGCCGCAGAUCUGCUGGUGCCACACGGAGAUCAGAUGGUGACAUUUCAAGCCUCCUCUUCAUGCUCCAUCCUUGCAUCCCCACCCAUCCUUCCCUCUUUUUGUCCUCUCGGCUCCUCAUCCAUCCCUCUGUGGCUCCAUUGAUCCGGCCGCUGGCGUUGCUAAGAGACAGCAGAGGGCUGUGAAGGGCAGAGAAGUGAUGGAGGGCAGAUUUACCUGCUCAGCGCCAGCAGAUGAAGAUCAGGUGUUCGCGUCUCCGGCUGCUCCUCUGUUUUCUGUUUAAGGGAAGGAGAAGCUGACAGAACCACGUCCAUCAGCAACUCAGAGCUGCACUGAAGCAAAGAGAAAAACAGCCGAAGCAGCUUCAUGAAUUAUUAUCUCUGUUUAAUAUAUAAUAUUUUACAUUUUGUCCUACCAAUUCAAAUGCAAGGAAGCCCAAAACACAGCAUCACUGUAUCCAUAUAUAUUUAUUUUAUUAAAUUUCAAUUGAUUUGAAUUUUAUUUUAAUUAAUUGUAUUGUUUAUUUUAGUUUUACUUGGACACUGAAGUCUU